AUUGAACGCUGGCGGCAGGCCUAACACAUGCAAGUCGAGCGGAUGAGUGGAGCUUGCUCCAUGAUUCAGCGGCGGACGGGUGAGUAAUGCCUAGGAAUCUGCCUGGUAGUGGGGGACAACGUUUCGAAAGGAACGCUAAUACCGCAUACGUCCUACGGGAGAAAGCAGGGGACCUUCGGGCCUUGCGCUAUCAGAUGAGCCUAGGUCGGAUUAGCUAGUUGGUGAGGUAAAGGCUCACCAAGGCGACGAUCCGUAACUGGUCUGAGAGGAUGAUCAGUCACACUGGAACUGAGAAACGGUCCAGACUCCUACGGGAGGCAGCAGUGGGGAAUAUUGGACAAUGGGCGAAAGCCUGAUUCAGCCAUGCCGCGUGUGUGAAGAAGGUCUUCGGAUUGUAAAGCACUUUAAGUUGGGAGGAAGGGCAGUAAGUUAAUACCUUGCUGUUUUGACGUUACCGACAGAAUAAGCACCGGCUAACUUCGUGCCAGCAGCCGCCGUAAAAC
rnacentral:rRNA from 1 species